rnacentral:RNase_P_RNA from 1 species
UAAGAAAGUGAGAUGAUCGCUCCGACGUUAUGUUGGAGAGGAAAGUCCGAACACAAUGCAACCGGGAGCAAGUCCGGCUUUAUGUCGGACCCAAGCCCAGGGAAAGUCUCCGACUUUGCGUUGGAGGUGCGUUCAUGGAUGUCAGCUGAUUUCGUGAGCGCUCGCAACAGAGACUAUACUAACCAGUGCUUCGCACUGGAAAUUCCAAAUUACAAAAUCCAAAUUUCAAACAUAUUUUGUUUGUUAUUUGUAAAUUGUAUAUUGGUGUUUUCACUGCGGAGCAGUGGCAAAAGGUGAAAAGUGUCGCGUCAAACGCGAUUUCGGUCAGUAGCGAUACUGAUCGGUUGUAAACCCCACUUGGUGCAAGACCGUGUCCCGAUAAUGACAGUUAUUAUCGUGGAAGAGUCGCUAGAGGUUCCGAGCGAUCGGGAUCCCAGAUGAAUGAUCAUCGCAAUUUUGUUCGCGAGUUUAACGAGUGAUUACAAAAUUGACGACCCGCCCAACUUUUGCUUGUCAAAAGUUUUGGCGGGUGCUCAUUUUGUCAGCUGUUCGUGUUAGCACACUCACAGGACAAAUUGGCACAGAAUUAGGCUUACGGCUUUCUUAACAG